UCCGAGAGGUAGUACAGAGCCACUGAAGUUUAUAGGAGAUUAGAUCUGAUUUUAAGGAAUUUCAUUUUAUCAACUGUGUGGAGGAUGAUUUAGAGAGUGAAAAGACAAGGGAAGAAUGUCACUUAGGAGCUAUGGCAAUAAGUCUAGAGUCUGAAGGAGAUAGCUGAGAGAUUUUUUGCUCCACAGCAUGAUAUGACCUGCUUUGAACAAAGGAAAAACAUUUAAUCAAAGGCCCAGUCAUUGUAUCUGACAAGGCUGUUUUCUGGGAGAGGAGAACAGAAGAAGAAAUUGGGAAGUACAGUUAAUAUAAAAUCCAAUCUAUCAAUAAAAAUUGAUUUUUAAAAAAUACAUAAAUUCACAAAAUCUGUUAUAGUCAUUGACCUGACAG